UACGGGGGGAGCAAGCGUUGUUCGGAUUUACUGGGCGUAAAGGGCGCGUAGGCGGUCAGCACAAGUCAGUUGUGAAAUCUCCGGGCUUAACUCGGAAAGGUCAACUGAUACUGUGCGACUAGAGUGCGGAAGGGGCAACUGGAAUUCUCGGUGUAGCGGUGAAAUGCGUAGAUAUCGAGAGGAACACCUGCGGCGAAGGCGGGUUGCUGGGCUGAUACUGACGCUGAGGCGCGAAAGCCAGGGGAGCGAACGGG
rnacentral:rRNA from 1 species